rnacentral:lncRNA from 9 species
UUUUUUCUUUUUUUUUUUUGGCCACACCUGCGGCAUAUGGGGCACAUGGAUGUUCCCCAGGCCGGGGAUCGAACCAGCACCUCCGCGACACUAGCCUUAACCCACUGCACCACAGUGGGAACUCCUGUCUUUCUUUCAUAAUCAGGGGAAAUAUUUUAACUAUAUAAAAAUCUUUAGACAGCCUCCAGAAUCAAAAUUAGAGAUCAAAACACACCUGUGGGGACGGUUACUUUCAAAACAUCAGAAAACAACAACUGGAACCCUUGUGCACUGUCAGCGGGAAUGCAAAAUGGGACAGAUGCUGUGAAAAACCGUAAGGCGGUUCCUCAAAAAAUUAACAAUAGAAUUACCCGAGAUCCAGCAAUUCCACUUCUGGGUAUAUGUCAAAAGAAUUGAAAGCAGGCCCUCCAAGAGAUGGAUGCAAAUAUACCCACGAUCAUAGCAGCAUUAUUCACAAGAGCUAAAACCUGGAAGAAACCCAGGUGUCCACUGACAGAUGAAGGGACAAACAAAACGUGCCAUAGACACACCACUGGACUAUUACGCAGCCUUAAAAAGGAGGAAAGUCCGACACGUGCUACAACAUGGAUGAACCUUGAAGACAUCAUGUUCAGGAAACUAAGCCAGUUACAAAAAGACAAAUGAUGUAUGCCCCACUUGUGUGACUACCUACAGCAGUCAGACUCACGGGAACAGAAAGUAGAAUGGUGGUAGCCAGGGGCUGGGGGAGGGGAGAAUGGAGACCUUGUUUCCUGGGUACCAUGUUUCUGUUUUGCAAGAUAAAGAGUUCUGGAGAGGGAGCGUGGUGGUGGUUUUACGACUCUAUGAACAUGCUUGAUGCCACUGAACCAUACACUUAAAAAUGGUAAGGGUGGUACGCGAUGUGUGUUUCACAAUAAGAACUGAAUUCACAGAAGCCUCUAGAGAAUAUGCAAUGUUCUUAAGAUUGAGAACAUCUGUCUGAGGAAACGAACCCCAUAGAGCUGGAAUGGCUCUCCCCAUUUGCUGGUUUUGCAUGUCCUGCAUUUUGCAUGAGUUAAAGUCCAUGAGACUGAAGUUGGUGUCAACCCCGGGGACUUCCCACCAUGUUUCCCACGCAGGCACCAGGGCGGCCCACCCAUCAGGGCAUCUGUGACCGAGGUUUGCAGCCACGGCCCCAGAGCUGGUCCCGGUGGACCUUCGGCUCUGUGUACCCACAGAAAGAGCAGCAGGUGCUCCCCCAUACAGGGCAGGCUAUGCACGCUCACCUGCGUGCAUCCGCCUCUACUCACCCAACUUCAAAGAUGGAUCUGCUGUUCUUCACAGCCCGGGCCAGGCACUUUCCUCCUUCGCUCGUGAUUUUGUUUUUUCCCAGUCUGUGGAGAGAGUCGUGCACAGGUCAGCUCCCACUGUCAAAAGCAUGGGCCACCCACCCCUGGGACAGAGCCCCUCGGGCCCCUCCUGGGAGGGACUGGUCUUUCUCUUGGGCUUCCUCUCAGGGAGGGGCCCAGAGCCCCAAGGAGAGCCAGUCGGGAUUCCUCUCCAGGGGAUGGUCACAGUUUUCUCCGCAGAAACUCAGGGACCUGACGUCUCCAGGGAAUUCUUUAAAUGACCUCUGGGCAUCACUCCUUCCAUCAGCAGACUGGAAGGUUCCUGCUUCAACUGCAAAUGGUCAAGGUGUAGACCCCGUCACCAGAGCAGCACCAGGGGCUCCUCCAAGCCUGGGACUCUGUCACCCGCAGCAGAAUGCUUCUAUGACACAGCCAAGGCUCAAGCUCCUGCUUGCAACCAGAUGGCUGCCAUGGCCUGAGGUUUGUACCCAAGCCCCAUCCCAGAAUUUCUAUGUUGAAAUCCUAACCCCAAGGCAAUGGUUCUAGGAGACGGAGCCAUUGGGAGGGGGCAUGGGCAGGAGGGUCGCACCCCCAUGAAUGAGGUUAGUGACUUCAGUGAGGCCCAAGAAAGCUUCCUCCCCUCUUCGCCACCACCACGUGAGGACACGGCGAGAAGACACCAUUGAAGAACCAGAAAUCGGGCCCUCGCCAGGUACCAAAUCUGCCGGCGCCUUCACCUUGGACUUUCCAGCCUCCAGAACCAUGAGAAAUAAACUUCUAGCAUUUAAAAGCAAUCUAGGGAGUUCCUGUUGUGGCUCAGUGGUAGCAAAACCAACUAGUGUCCAUGAGGACGCAGGUUUGAUCCCUGGCCUCACUCAGUGGGUUAAAGGAUCCGUCGGAUUCGUUAACCACUGAACCACGAGGGGAACUCCAUGAUCAGCAUCUUGAAGGGGAAAAGUUUCUGAGCGCUGGAGCCACCUUAGUGUCUACCUUUCAGUCAUGCUACCACUUGACACCAAUUCAACAAUAGGGAGUUGCAAGCGGUGAGCAGACAGGUUUCCGGUGUCCCACAGUCACGUGGAACUCCAGAGCCGAGAGUGCUGGUGGCCUCAUGUGACAGCUGAGAAAACUGAGGCCCAAAGAAGCCAAAAGACUGGCUCUGGCUCAGAGUCAACAGUGGCUAUGGGCAGAAUUCCUGUCAUGGCACAGCAGGAAGAAAUCCGACUAGUAUGCACGAAGAUGUGGGUUUGAUCCCUGGCCUCGCUCAGUGGGUUGGGGAUCUGGCAUUGCCGUGAGCUGUGAUGUAGGAUGCAGAUGCAGCUCAGAUCUUGCACGGCCGUGGCCGUGGCAUAGGCCCGCAGCUGCAGCUCUGAUUCGACCCCUAGCCUGGGAACCUCCGUAUGCUGCAGGUGCAGCCCUAAACAGCAAACGAAACAAAACAGUGGCCGUGGAGCCAGCUGGCGUGGCCCUCAACUUCUCCGACCCCAAAAUCCCAAAGGCUCUAAGAGCCCAAAGUUCUUCAUUAACUAUUUUGACAACUGAUGUGAAACUAUUUGCGGUCUUUAUCCCAACUGAUACGAACAUGGACAUUUUGCUGCAGAAAUAAUAACGUAUUUGGAAAUGGGGUGCUGCCCUAGACCCCAGUGGCCAUGUCACUGCUGGGUGGCAUUAACACUCAUCUCCGAUUCAUGUCUCGCCCCAAGGGAUCCGGAUGCUGUAUCACGGACCCGGAGUAAUAAAGUCUACCACAUAAACAGUAGUCUCACAUUCAUAAAACACAUCCCCAGGUAUUCUGUCACCACAUUCCACAGUCACCACCUAUAAAACUAUUCGUCUACGUUAGGAUCCCAGUUAUCCAGGGGCAAUGAGACGACUGAGGCUCAAUGAGAUUUCCUGACUUGCUCAAAGAGUGGGCUGCUGGCCAAGCCAAAAGCAGGACCCAGAACCCACGGCUCCCAAUCCAGAGCACUUUCUGGUGCCCUGGGGCCAUCAGUUGUGCAUCCAGCAAACCUCAUGAAUGGCAAUUUCCCGCUGCUCUGUAUUCUUACCACAGAGUUGUCCCAGGGUCCUUGAGAAAUACAUACCCUAAAAAUGUCACGAUUUUGUAUUUGGUCAGCUCUUCAUAUAGCACCUUCACCCCACUGUCAGUGAUCUGGUUUACACUGAGUCUGGAGAAAAAAAAAAAAAAAAAAAAA